CUUUAAUUUGCUUCCCCCUCCCAGAAGAGUUUCCUCCCCUCACCUUGCUGCUUUCACUGCAGCUGUAGAGGAACGCAGUCUACAUGCAGCUGGGACUGGGAUAUGUGCAGAACCUUCACACAAGGCACGCUUAAGAACAAGUCUGCCCAGAAUAUCAAUAAGAAAUGCCAAGUACCCUAGAAGGAGGAAGUAAAGAAAAAUCAGGAUGCACUUCGUAAUGCGUUGGUGACACCAUUGAACAGAAUGGUCUUGUCGACCGUCUGCCUGUCCUCCCUGGUGUAAAACUGAGGGAUAGAUACCAAGCCUCUUUCUCUAGCAUGUCAGAUGUCUGCUGCAGGGCUCAA